rnacentral:rRNA from 1 species
UACAGAGGUCUCGAGCGUUGUUCGGAUUCAUUGGGCGUAAAGGGCGCGUAGGCGGCGGGGUAAGUCUGGUGUGAAAUCUCGGAGCUCAACUCCGAAAUUGCACUGGAUACUGCUCUGCUAGAGGGCUGGAGAGGAGACUGGAAUUUACGGUGUAGCGGUGAAAUGCGUAGAUAUCGUAAGGAAGACCAGUGGCGAAGGCGGGUCUCUGGACAGUUCCUGACGCUGAGGCACGAAGGUCAGGGGAGCAAACGGG